rnacentral:rRNA from 1 species
CCUACGGGUGGCAGCAGUGGGGAAUAUUGGGCAAUGGACGCAAGUCUGACCCAGCAACGCCGCGUGAAGGAAGAAGGCUUUCGGGUUGUAAACUUCUAUUAAGGGGGAAGAGCAGAAGAGGGGACCCCUUGAAUAAGCCACGGCUAACUAGGGGCAAGCAGCCGGGGUAAUACGUAGGUGGAAAGCGUUGUCCGGAUUUACUGGGGGUAAAGGGCGGGAAGCCGGAGAGAAAAGUCAGAUGGGAAAUCAACGGGCUCAACCCGUGAACUGCAUUUGAAACUGUUUCCCUUGAGUGUCGGCGAGGUAAUCGGAAUUCCUAGUGUAGCGGUGACAUGCGUAGAUAUUAGGAAGAACCCCAGUGGCGAAGGCGGCUUACUGGACGAUAACUGACGGUGAGGCUCGAAAGCGUGGGGAGCAAACAGGAUUAGAUACCCGUGUAGUC